AUGAUGGUGAUGAUGAUGAUGAUGAUGAUGAUGAUGAUGAUGAGGGUGAUGAUGGUGGUUAUGAUGAUGAGGGUGAUGGUAAUGAUGAUGGUGGUGAUGAUGGUGGUGAUGAUGAUGAUGGUGGUGAUGAUGAUGAGGGUGAUGGUGAUGAUGGUGGUGAUGAUGAUGAUGGUGGUGAUGAUGAUGAGGGUGAUGGUGAUGAUGGUGGUGAUGAUGAUGAGGGUGAUGGUGAUGAUGGUGGUGAUGAUGAUGAGGGUGAUGGUGAUGAUGAUGGUGAUGAUGAUGAGGGGGAUGAUGAAGAGGGUGAUGAUGAUGGUGAUGAUGAUGAUGAUGGUGGUGAGUGUGAUGAUGGUGGUGAUGGUGAUGAUGAUGAUGAUGGUGAUGAUGAUGAGGGGGAUGAUGAUGAGGGUGAUGAUGAUGGUGAUGAUGAUGAUGGUGGUGAGGGUGAUGAUGGUGGUGGUGAUGAUGAUGAUGGUGGUGAUGAUGAGGGUGAUGAUGAAGAGGGUGAUGAUGAUGGUGAUGAUGAUGAUGAUGGUGGUGAUGAUGAUGAUGAUGGUGGUGAGGGUGAUGAUGGUGGUGAUGGUGAUGAUGAUGAUGAUGGUGAGGGGGAUGAUGAUGAGGGUGAUGAUGAUGAUGAUGGUGGUGAUGAUGAUGAUGGUGGUGAGGGUGAUGAUGGUGGUGAUGGUGAUGAUGAUGAUGGUGGUGAUGAUGGUGAUGAUGGUGGUGAUAGUGAUUAUGAUGGUGAUGGUGGUGAUGAUGGUGAUGCUGAUGAUGGUGGUGAUUGUGAUGAUGGUGAUGAUGAUGAUGAUGAUGAUGGUGGUGGUGGUGAUGGUGGUGAUGAUGGUGGUGAUGAUGGUGAUGAUGAUGAUGGUCUUCUUCACAGGACGCUCUGAAGCCAGCGGGCAGCACCAGCGUCCCCAGCUCCACCAGCAGCCCAUCCUUCCCCAUCACCAGCUACCUGCCAGCCGCCGGGAACACAGCGAAGAGCACCGGAGUCAUGCAGCUGCCUGCAGGAUUCACCUUCAUGUCAGGCUCUCCGUUUGCUCCCGGGACUCCUGCGAUUCCUCUCGGUCAGAGCGGUGUGUCUCAGGGGUCACCACAGGGUCAGCAGGCCGUGUUUCGUCUGCCAGCCACCGUCUCACUGACCGGCGGAGGGAUGCCGCAGCAGCUCCAGAGCGUCCAGGUCCAGUCCAGCGGUCAGUCGAGCUGCAUCAGCUCCAGCGCUCCACAGACCUCAGGUACACACAUACACACACACACACACAGGGAGAGAGAGACACACACACACACAUCAUUUUCUGCUUUAGUUAAAGUUUGACACUUUGUUGUGCAUUUUUCUAAUUUAUUUAUGUCUGUGUAGUUUUAUAUAUUUUUAUUUUAGUUAUGUUGUUGUGCAUUUUUGUCGUUUUUGAAAUAUUUACAUGUAUAUAUUUAUAUUCCUAUAAAUUAUUUUAUAAGUAAACAUAUUUAUUAAAAACCCAUAGCCUAUGCUUCUGAUAAUAAACAUAUACUGUACACACACAUAUAUUUUGUAAACAAAAACUUUUAUUUUGGAUGCGAUUAAUCGUUUGACAGCACUAUAUAUACACAAUUCUAUAACAUAUAUAAACAUUUUUCAAAAAUGUUUAAUCUUCAUAUUAUUUUCUGCUUUAAAGUUUUAUUACCAUUGUUGUGCAUAUAUAUAUAUAUAUAUAUAUAAUUUAUUUUUUUAUUAUUAUUUUUUUUUUACUUUAAGUUAAACUAAAUGAAAACGACAUCUUUCCUUGGCUACAAAAUGUUUUUUUUUUUUCACUAUAUAUUUUUUAUUAUAUUUGCUGAAUUAAAUCCAAUACUUCUUUCUUUUUUAAUUUGGGCUACUGAUUGCACUUUUUAUUUGCUCUUUCAUGUCACACUUUUUUACAAAACAUGAUGCUUUCAUAUUGCUCUGGACAAGCAUUAGUGUGCUCGUCUUGUAUUCUACACAUGAUUCCUGUCUGAAUCUCAUCCUGAACUACACUCACAGACUGAAGAAACAUGAUGCUUUCUGCUUUUACUGCAGCCACAGACAAUUACACACAUUACAUUUUGAAAACCAAACUUUUUGUGCAUUAAAGCAGAUGUAUAUAUAUAUAUAUAUAUGUGUGUGUGUGUGUGUGUGUGUGUGCGGUGAGAAUCGUCCUCCUGUGUGUGAGCUGAUGAUGUAAUAACUCUCUCUCUGUGUCUCAGUUACGGUCAGUCUGCCGGCCGUCGUCUCCUCCUCGGUGUCCUCCUCCAUGACGGGUCACAUGAUGUACUCCAGCCCACACACACUCAUGUACGCUUCAGCGCCCACGCUAGCAGACGGGAGCGUAGCGGUGCUCAACGCCUUCACACAGGCACAGGUGUCACACACGACGACUCAGGACACGGGUGAGACACACACACACACACAGACAGAUGCACACACACACACACAUAGAUAUACACACACAGAGAGAGAGAUACACACACAGAGAGAAAGAGAGAGAGCGAUACACACACA
rnacentral:lncRNA from 1 species